CAACUGUAUAAAAAAGAAGAUGUGGUAUGAUUGCCAAUGAGACAACUAUCCUCAAAAGACCAAAAUGACACAGACAUUAACAACUAUAGGUCACCGUACGGCCUUCAACAAUGAGCAAAGCCCAUACCGCAUAGUCAGCUAUAAAUGGCCCCUAUAAGACAAUGUAAAACAAUUCAAACGAGAAAACUAACGGCCUUAUUUAUGUAAAAAAAUGAAUGAAAAACAAAUAUGUAACACAUAAACAAACAACAACCACUGAAUUACAGGCUCCUGACUUGGGACAUGCACAUACAUAAAUAAUG
rnacentral:lncRNA from 1 species